GGAUGAACGCUGGCGGCGUGCCUAAUCCAUGCAAGUCGAGCGAACGGACGAGACGCUUGCUUCUCUGAUGUUAGCGGCGGCCGGGUGAGUAACACGUGGAUAACCUACCUAUAAGACUGGGAUAACUUCGGGAAACCGGAGCUAAUACCGGAUGAUAUUUUGAACCGCAUGGUUCAAAAGUGAAAGACGGUCUUGCUGUCACUUAUAGAUGGAUCCGCGCUGCAUUAGCUAGUUGGUAAGGUAACGGCUUACCAAGGCAACGAUGCAUAGCCGACCUGAGAGGGUGAUCGGCCACACUGGAACUGAGACACGGUCCAGACUCCUACGGGAGGCAGCAGUAGGGAAUCUUCCGCAAUGGGCGAAAGCCUGACGGAGCAACGCCGCGUGAGUGAUGAAGGUCUUCGGAUCGUAAAACUCUGUUAUUAGGGAAGAACAUAUGUGUAAGUAACUGUGCACAUCUUGACGGUACCUAAUCAGAAAGCCACGGCUAACUACGUG
rnacentral:rRNA from 1 species